CACGUAGGGCGCAAGCGUUGUCCGGAAUUAUUGGGCGUAAAGAGCUCGUAGGCGGUCUGUUGCGUCCGCUGUGAAAACUCGGGGCUUAACCCCCGAGCCUGCAGUGGAUACGGGCAGACUAGAGGUAGGUAGGGGAGAAUGGAAUUCCCGGUGUAGCGGUGAAAUGCGCAGAUAUCGGGAGGAACACCGGUGGCGAAGGCGGGUCUCUGGGCAGUAACUGACGCUGAGGAGCGAAAGCGUGGGGAGCGAACAGG
rnacentral:rRNA from 1 species